GACGAACGCUGGCGGCGUGCUUAACACAUGCAAGUCGAACGAUGAAGCCGGAGCUUGCUCUGGUGAAUUAGUGGCGAACGGGUGAGUAACACGUGAGUAACCUGCCCUUGACUCUGGGAUAACUGCGGGAAACUGUAGCUAAUACCGGAUACGACCCUCGGAGGCAUCUCCUGGGGGUGGAAAGAAUUUCGGUCGAGGAUGGACUCGCGGCCUAUCAGCUAGUUGGUGAGGUAAAGGCUCACCAAGGCGACGACGGGUAGCCGGCCUGAGAGGGUGACCGGCCACACUGGGACUGAGACACGGCCCAGACUCCUACGGGAGGCAGCAGUGGGGAAUACUGCACAAUGGGCGCAAGCCUGAUGCAGCAACGCCGCGUGAGGGAUGACGGCCUUCGGGUUGUAAACCUCUUUUAGUAGGGAAGAAGCGAAAGUGACGGUACCUGCAGAAAAAGCACCGGCUAACUACGUGCCAGCCGCCGCCGUAA
rnacentral:rRNA from 1 species